rnacentral:rRNA from 1 species
AUUGAACGCUGGCGGCAGGCCUAACACAUGCAAGUCGAGCGGAGCGGCGGACGGGUGAGUAAUGCCUAGGAAUCUGCCUGGUAGUGGGGGAUAACGUCCGGACACGGGCGCUAAUACCGCAUACUAUCAGAUGAGCCUAGGUCGGAUUAGCUAGUUGGUGGGGUAAAGGCCUACCAAGGCAACGAUCCGUAACUGGUCUGAGAGGAUGAUCAGUCACCCGGGAACUGAGACAUGUGCAAGACUCCUACGGGAGGCAGCAGUGGGAAAUAGUGAACAAUGCGCGCAAGUCUGAUGCAGUCAUGCCGGCUGUAUGAAGAAGGCCUUCGGGUUGUAAAGUACUUUCAGCGGGGAGGCGUUACCCGCAGAAGAAGCACCGGCGAACUCCGUGCCAGCCGCCGCGGUAAUAC